rnacentral:tRNA from 1 species
GCGGGCGUAGCUCAGUUGGUUAGAGUGUCUCCCUGUCACGGAGAAGGUCGCCGGUUCGAGUCCGGUCGCCCGCGCUA